rnacentral:rRNA from 1 species
UACGAAGGGGGCUAGCGUUGCUCGGAAUGACUGGGCGUAAAGGGCGCGUAGGCGGCUCAUACAGUCAGGCGUGAAAUUCCUGGGCUCAACCUGGGGACUGCGCUUGAGACGUGUGGGCUUGAGUGGGGAAGAGGGUCGUGGAAUUCCCAGUGAUAGAGGUGAAAUUCGUAGAUAUUGGGAAGAACACCGGUGGCGGAAGGCGGCGACCUGGUCCUUGACUGACGCUGGAGGCGCGAAAGCGUGGGGAGCAAACAGG